GACGAACGCUGGCGGCGUGCUUAACACAUGCAAGUCGAACGGAAAGGCCCUGCUUUUGUGGGGUGCUCGAGUGGCGAACGGGUGAGUAACACGUGAGUAACCUGCCCUUGACUUUGGGAUAACUUCAGGAAACUGGGGCCAAUACCGGAUAGGAGCUCCUGCUGCAUGGUGGGGGUUGGAAAGUUUCGGCGGUUGGGGAUGGACUCGCGGCUUAUCAGCUUGUUGGUGGGGUAGUGGCUUACCAAGGCUUUGACGGGUCGCCGGCCUGAGAGGGUGACCGGCCACAAGGGGACUGAGAUACGGACCAGACUCCUACGGGAGGCAGCAGUGGGGAAUAUUGCACAAUAGGCGGAAGCCUGAUGCAGCAGCGCCGCGUGCGGGAUGACGGCCUUCGGGUUGUAAACCGCUUUCGCCUGUGACGAAGCGUGAGUGACGGUAAUGGGUAAAGAAGCACCGGCUAACUACGUG
rnacentral:rRNA from 1 species